GAGACCUGUGAAAGGGUCAGGGGUUACAACCCACAAAUUGAGAACCACUGCUCUAGAGCUACCAUUUCUGCUGACAACUUGCAUCUACUCCUGAGAAGCCCAGCAUGCUCCCACACUGCCUGUCCAAGACUGGAUGGGAUACACCAUUCUAAACCUGUUGGUAUUCAGGAAUCUUGGGAAACUGGUAGCCCUGCCCAGAGCCCUCUCACCUCUAUGGGGAUAUACAGCAUGAAGCCUGGCUCUCCCGUGUGCGUCAUACUCAUCACCCGGAUCCCAUUUGCAUAGCCCACACUCAUCUCCUACAAAGAAAAGGAAAGCAGUCAGUACUCGUCCCUCCUGACAGUCAAGAGACUGAGUCCCGAGAGGAGCCUGUCAGUACCCACCCUAUGUUAACCCUAGAAGAGCUACAACCAAGAAAAGCAUCUCUCUUUACCAGCUCAUGCUAAAACAUUGAGUUAGCCAAGCAGCGUUAGGAACAAUGAAGACCAACCAAAUGUCUUCUCUGGAGGACUCUGUAAGACACAUAAAGGACAAUGCCAGCAGAAUACAAUUCAUGUACUCUGGGACCAAAAACUCAGUUUCUAGUGUUCCAGCUGCUCAGUCGCCUUGAAAGGGUCACUGAUAUAAUACUGCUCUGUGAAGGGAAGUGUAAGACCAAUCGAGACAGCACUGAAACAACAAUUCCACAUGAAUUCUGACAAGAUAAGGCAUUUGACAGUCAUAGGUUGGAUCAUUUUGUAAAGUACAGAGAAGACUGCAGAGGAUCUGUUCACUAACAUGAAGUUUUCUGUUGGUUUCUCUGCUUUGGAGAGCAGGAAACCAUUAAACAAUUUGCUCUAAAAAUCUCCACUUGGGUUUAAACUUCCAAGUUCCUCCAUGCAUGUCCAAAGUGGCUGUGCGACUGCUUCCUGCAAAGCACUCAGUUAUUCAGUGUAGUGUGUGCCAAGCAACUAGUGUGUUGUCUAGGGUUCAGCUAUCAAUAUACUAUGAGAAUAAAAACAAAAACAGCAAAUGCAAGG
ensembl:processed_transcript